GAUGAACGCUGGCGGCGUGCCUAAUACAUGCAAGUCGAGCGAACGGACGAGAAGCUUGCUUCUCUGAUGUUAGCGGCGGACGGGUGAGUAACACGUGGAUAACCUACCUAUAAGACUGGGAUAACUUCGGGAAACCGGAGCUAAUACCGGAUAAUAUUUUGAACCGCAUGGUUCAAAAGUAAAAGACGGUCUUGCUGUCACUUAUAGAUGGAUCCGCGCUGCAUUAGCUAGUUGGUAAGGUAACGGCUUACCAAGGCAACGAUGCAUAGCCGACCUGAGAGGGUGAUCGGCCACACUGGAACUGAGACACGGUCCAGACUCCUACGGGAGGCAGCAGUAGGGAAUCUGCCGCAAUGGGCGAAAGCCUGACGGAGCAACGCCGCGUGAGUGAUGAAGGUCUUCGGAUCGUAAAACUCUGUUAUUAGGGAAGAACAUAUGUGUAAGUAACUGUGCACAUCUUGACGGUACCUAAUCAGAAAGCCACGGCUAACUACGU
rnacentral:rRNA from 1 species